rnacentral:tRNA from 1 species
GUGGGUACAGCUCAGUGGUAGAGCACAUGCUUAGCAUGCAUGAGGUCCUGGGUUCAAUCCCCAGGACCUUCA